GGAGACCUAGCUCAGUGGGAGAGCUCUUGCCUAGUAUGUAUGAGGAUAUAGGUUCAAUCC
rnacentral:tRNA from 1 species